rnacentral:rRNA from 1 species
GAGCUAAUACAUGCCUCGAUGCCCUGACCCUCNNGGGGAUGGGUGCACUUAUUAGAUCAGAAGCCAACCGUGUUCUGUCGUGGCAACAUGGCUGGACGCGUUGACCUUCUGGUGACUCUGGAUAAUUGUUACAGAUCGCAGUCGGCCUUGAGUCGGCGACGGGUCCUUCAAAUGUCUGCCCUAUCAACUUUCGAUGGUAGGUGACCUGCCUACCAUGGUGAUAACGGGUAACGGGGAAUCAGGGUUCGAUUCCGGAGAGGGAGCCUGAGAAACGGCUACCACUUCCAAGGGAGGCAGCAGGCGCGCAAAUUACCCACUCCCAGUACGGGGAGGUGGUGACGAAAAAUACCGAUGCGGGACUCCUUAAAGAGGCUCCGUAAUCGGAAUGAGUGGACUAUAAAUCCUUUCACGAGGAUCAAUUGGAGGGCAAGUCUGGUGCCAGCAGCCGCGGUAACUCCAGCUCCAAUAGCGUAUAUUAAAGUUGCUGCAGUUAAAAAGCUCGUAGUUGGAUCUCGGUAGCACUGUUGCCUGUUGGUCUUUGGGUGGAUGGUUGCCGUAGCUAGCGUCGUUGUCGUUGCGUGUUACUGCGGGAUGCGGCGUUGGCUGCGGCGGCAGCUGUGCAUUCCAAGCUAGCGGGGUAGCGGUGUGACCUGUAAGCCAUGUCUGUGGUGAAAGCCGCAGGUGUGAGCGAGUGUCGGGCGACGUCCUGCGGUAGUGGGGCUUGUCGGCUCGUUUGCAUGCCUUUGGAUGCCCUUAAAAAGGUGUCUGUGGGCGGAUGGCACGUUUACUUUGAACAAAUUUGAGUGCUCAAAUCAGGCCGAUGUUGCCUGAAAAGUUUUGCAUGGAAUAAUGGAAUAGGACUUCGGUUCUAUUUCGUUGGUUUUCGGAUCCGAAGUAAUGAUCAAAAGAGACAGGCGGGGGCGUUUGUAUGGCUGCGCUAGAGGUGAAAUUCAUGGACCGUAGCCAGACAAACUAAAGCGAAAGCAUUCGUCAAGCAUGUUUUCAUUGGCCAUGAGCGAAAGUCAGAGGCUCGAAGACGAUCAGAUACCGUCCUAGUUCUGACCAUAAACGAUGCCAACUGACGAUCCGUGGUGGUAGUCUGUCAACCUUCCCCACGGGCAGUCCCCGGGAAACCUUUAAUUCU